rnacentral:rRNA from 1 species
AUUGAACGCUGGCGGCAGGCCUAACACAUGCAAGUCUGGCGAGCGGCGGACGGGUGCGUAAUGUAUGGGUAUCUGCCUGAUGGCGGUGGAUAACUACUGGAAACGGUAGUUAAUACCGCAAACCAUCAGAUGAACCCAUAUGGGAUUAGCUUGUAGGUAAGGUAACGGCUUACCUAGGCGACGAUCCCUAGCUGGUCUGAGCGGAUGAUCAGGCACGCUGAGACUGCGACACGGCCCAGACUCCUACGGGAGGCAGCAGUGGGAAAAAUUGCGAAAUGGGCGCAAGCCUGAUGCAGCCAUGCCGCGUGUAUGAAGAAAGCCUUCGGGUUGUAAAGUACUUUCAGUCGGGAGGCGUUACCGACAGAAGAAGCACCGGCUAAAUCCGUACCAGCAGCCGCGGUAAUAC